rnacentral:rRNA from 1 species
AUUGAACGCUGGCGGCAUGCCUUACACAUGCAAGUCGAACGGCAGCACGGGAGCAAUCCUGGUGGCGAGUGGCGAACGGGUGAGUAAUAUAUCGGAACGUGCCCAGUCGUGGGGAUAACGUAGCGAAAGCUACGCUAAUACCGCAUACGAUCUAUGGAUGAAAGCGGGGGAUCGCAAGACCUCGCGCGAUUGGAGCGGCCGAUAUCAGAUUAGGUAGUUGGUGAGGUAAAGGCUCACCAAGCCGACGAUCUGUAGCUGGUCUGAGAGGACGACCAGCCACACUGGGACUGAGACACGGCCCAGACUCCUACGGGAGGCAGCAGUGGGGAAUUUUUGGACAAAUGGGCGCAAGCCUGAUCCAGCAAUGCCGCGUGCAGGAUGAAGGCCUGGUUGUAA